AGUAGAGAAAAUAACCUGGCAACUAGUUAUGUUACACAUUGAAGAUUUUUUGAAACAUGGCAAUACUGAGAUUCCACUUAUGUGAUUAAAAGCAUAACAUCUAACAUACAUUUUCUACUUUUGUCUCCUCGAAGAUGGAAAAUAAAUCAGCCUUAUGAACAAAAGCUAUGAAGGUUUUCUACAUAUGUGACAUGUCAUGGCAAAUCAUGUCAACCAGUUUCUGAAGCUUUUAUUUGUGCCAACUAAGUAAGGAAAACAUUGGAGAUUUUUGUGUGCCAUAUUGAUGCCCAUGUAGUAAGCAAAACCACAGAUCUUUUCGUUUCUUGUCCAAGAACAUAUGUUGCAAGAGAGAUGUGGUACA
rnacentral:lncRNA from 1 species